GAUUUCUGGUACGACGGAGCUAGUCCGCCCCUGUCCAAGGGAGUGUGUACUGGUUCUCGUCUGCCAUCCUUGUAGAAAGUCGGUACUGCCGCUUGCGGUUGGUACCGCCGAUCUACAUCUUUUACUUUGAAAAAAUUAGAGUGUUUAAAGCAGGCUUGCGCUAUGAAUACAUUAGCAUGGAAUAAUAAUAUAGGACUUUGGCCUAUUUUGUUGGUUUCUAGCGCUGAAGUAAUGAUUGAUAGGGAUAGUUGGGGGUGCUAGUAUUCAGCGGCCAGAGGUGAAAUUCUCGGAUUCGCUGAAGACUAACUUAUGCGAAAGCAUU
rnacentral:rRNA from 1 species